rnacentral:rRNA from 1 species
GACGAACGCUGGCGGCGUGCUUAACACAUGCAAGUCGAACGGAAAGGCCCUGCUUUUGUGGGGUGCUCGAGUGGCGAACGGGUGAGUAACACGUGAGUAACCUGCCCUUGACUUUGGGAUAACUUCAGGAAACUGGGGCUAAUACCGGAUAGGAGCUCCUGCUGCAUGGUGGGGGUUGGAAAGUUUCGGCGGUUGGGGAUGGACUCGCGGCUUAUCAGCUUGUUGGUGGGGUAGUGGCUUACCAAGGCUUUGACGGGUAGCCGGCCUGAGAGGGUGACCGGCCACAUUGGGACUGAGAUACGGCCCAGACUCCUACGGGAGGCAGCAGUGGGGAAUAUUGCACAAUGGGCGGAAGCCUGAUGCAGCAACGCCGCGUGCGGGAGGACGGCCUUCGGGUUGUAAACCGCUUUCGCCUGUGACGAAGCGUGAGUGACGGUAAUGGGUAAAGAAGCACCGGCUAACUACGU